CAGCAAAAACCGUCCCCAGACAAAUAAAUCCCUCCGUCCAUUGCAAAACCCGCUUCUCUCUCGCUCUCUCUCUCUCUCUCUACAAAUCAACGGAACAAAAAACCCAACAUCUCCCCUCAACGGAUCAAUCUCCACCGUCCAUCAGAUUCUGCCCUCACCCGUCCUCGCGCGCCAUGCUUCCCCAACAGCCUCCGCCACACGCAUCCUCCCAUCCGUCGCCCCCUCGCUUCUCCUUCUCCCACCCAACAGCCUCUGGCCCCCACCGCAAGAUCGCGAUCGCCGUCGAUCUCAGCGACGAGUCGGCCUUCGCCGUCCGUUGGGCCGUACAUAACUACCUCCGCCCCAGCGACUCCGUCGUCCUCCUCCACGUCCGCCCCACCUCCGUCCUCUACGGCGCCGAUUGGGGCUCCGUCGACCUCUCCCUCCACGACUCUGCUGACUCAUCGGAAGAGUCCCAGCGGAAGCUGGAAGACGAUUUCGAUGCUUUCACCGCUGCCAAGGCCGCUGAUCUCGCUCAGCCCCUUGUCGCGGCCCGCAUACCGUUCAAGAUCCAUAUCGUCAAAGAUCAUGACAUGAAGGAGAGGCUCUGCUUGGAAGUCGAACGGCUGGGAUUGAGUGCAGUGAUCAUGGGGAGCCGUGGGUUCGGUGCAUCGAGGCGGACGAUUAAGGGGAGGCUCGGGAGUGUUAGCGAUUACUGCGUGCAUCAUUGCAUUUGCCCGGUGGUGGUUGUGCGGGAUCCGGAUGAGAAGGAUGGAAGCAUGGCCGUAGAAGCUGCUGCUGUGGGGCCCAAGGCGGUGGCGAAGGAUGCAGAGCUGCAUCCGCUGCCAGAGGAUGAGCAGGAAUACCAUGACACUUCAGAUGAACAGAAAGGUUGAAUCAGGAGGCUAUUGGUGUGACUUGGCCAUACCAUCGAGCACUGAAACUGAAAUGUAUUGGGAGAUACGUAUGGUUUUGGACGAUGCUUCAGUCCUUUGCUUUUAAUGGUAUUGUGACAAUUUGAGACUGAAUCUUUAUUUGAGGGUUUCAUGUCAGUUUUCAUGUUGGCAAAAGUUGGUUUGUAUUCUUUGUUGCCAUCAUAAAGUUUACCAGAUCUAUUUGUUUUAGAUUUUACCACCUAUUACUUUAUUAUGUCGCAUGACAUCUUGCCAAUAUGCAUGUUGUUCCUCUGUAAAGACAUUUAUGUGAAAUUUUGUUAAGUAGUUUGGAAACUAGCAGUAAGUUGAUUUUGAGUUAUGGCGGUUGCUAUGUUGAAAGUUUGAUAGUGUGCUUCAUAUCUGUCAUUUUCCUCAUUUCACGCAUGUCUUUCCUUGUUCGCUGUGGAAACUUGGAACUAAAGCUUGAGGAUGCUUCCCAUUUUUUAUUUUCUAUCAUGAUCUGUUUGGAUAAAGAACACAAACUACUAGAAUGAGGUAGUUUGCUCCAUUCAUUUGAUCUUGAGUUGGAUGUACAUAAAAUGAGAACCAGUGGAAAAGACUCACAAAACAGUAACUGAACAAACCAUAAAAGAAUAAAGAGGGUCGAAAAUAUAGAAGAACGAAAAAAGAAGAAGAAGAAGAAGUGUCUUCAAAAUGUUGAGCUGGAGACUUCUCAACACUGCCCCUCUAACCGGAAUGUUGAGAAAAUCAUGCCUCAUUCUCCUCUUGAGGCGAGAAAAUAUGGUUUUUCCUGAUGCUUCUGCUGAAAUUUUGCAACUUGAUCUCGACUUCACAGGUUAGCAUAGUCUUCUAUUAUUCUUUAUCAGUUCCUCAAUUUCUUGUUUUGAACAAAUCGUGUGAUUCUUUAUACAAGGCUUCUUGUGUGGAAUGCAUGCUGUAUUAACUUCCACUCAAGCAAAUCUCAUAUUCACUUCUCGAUCUUGUUUGUUAUACUGCUUCCUUAUGUUGAUCACAUCAAACGAUAAAGAAGACCUACUGCAUUAUUUGAUUUCAAUCAACUUUUACAUUAGCUUCUUAUGUUAUUAAAUGAUAAGUUAAAAUUCUAUGAUAAGAGCUAACGGGACCACCUGUUCGAGGAUGUUUGGUGGCAGUCUCCUGAGAUUUGGACAUUUACCCUUUGAUUGCCUCAUUUCCAUUAAACUCGGAUGGUCUCCAUAAUCUUUAAAUAAUCAAAGGGUUGAGAUAACUUCAGUUUGAGAUUUGUUCUGGGUAUACCACAGCCACAGUUUGGCUCACGAUAUAGACAGUUUUGGUCAUUGGAAGGACUUAAUAUCCAUUGGUUUAUGUCCCAACAUAUCCUAUGAGGUGUCAUUCUCUCUUGGAGUACCAAAUGACUUCCUAUUGGAUGUCAUUCCCUAUUAAAAAGCAUACAACAGAUCUUUUUUUGUCACAUAAUACUGCAGAGAUUGACCAUUCCCGUGGCUAUUAUAACUGGUAUUUUGUGAGCUCAGUUCCAGAAAUACUAGUAUUUCUGUAUGUGUAUGUAAUGACUUGUAUUUGGAUGCAUGUGAGGAGAGCAGGUGUUACUUUUUUUACUGGUUCCACAGGCACAAUUGAAAAAUAGAUGGCAAGAUCAUAGUCUCCUGUUUUAAUGGAAUGGAAGAAUACAGCAAUGGUGUGAGUAGAAUAAAAGAUCGCCUGAAAUCAAGUUGGCUCAGUUUCACUGGACAAUGAACCUGAACCACCCCACCUGCCCUUCUGGAUGGGUUACGACGACUCGACACAGAUCCAGUCGAGCCAAAAAACAAGUCUUAGUGUUUUUGUUCCUAAGGUUACUUUUUGAAACUAGAGUUUUUAGUCAUUGUGGGCUGUCAUGGUUGCAGUAUUUACACUUCAAAUUGAAAUGUGGGACCCAAAUAUGGUAAUCAUUUCCAAAUGUCUGGGAAACUUUAUUUUGAGAUAGGCAAGGUUUGCUAGCGUACAAAGGUAUCCUGCAUGCCCUCCUUGAUGCAAGAUGCUUGAAAAGUUACUCAGAAAUGGAGUGGUUCUCUUGAAUCCAGGUCGCGUGAUGUGGGAUCGAGACAUUCAGUUGUUGCAUGCAGUCUAGUGAGAGCAGCGCUGGUUUGCAGUCUUGUGAGAGCAGCUCUGGUUUGUUAUAUGUGGGGGUGUCAUUGUAUUGUGCAGAAAGCAGAUGUGAUUAAGCUGUGCAAUUAGGGAGCUUGGAGAGAUCUGAGGAUGUUGUUCAAGGUGUGGACAAGUACCAUGCAAUUGAACGGUGUUAGUCUUACUGCUAUUAUUCUCUACUUCUUGUCACACAUAUAUAUCACAUCUGAUGAACUGGAUUGAUUGAUAAUGGGCAUUGUAUGUUUUGAAUCACUUGGAUUCAUUGCAGGA